rnacentral:rRNA from 1 species
CGGGGGGCUGCAGUGGGGAAUAUUGGACAAUGGGCGCAAGCCUGAUCCAGCCAUGCCGCGUGAGUGAUGAAGGCCUUAGGGUUGUAAAGCUCUUUCAGUGGGGACGAUAAUGACGGUACCCACAGAAGAAGCCCCGGCUAACUUCGUGCCAGCAGCCGCGGUAAUACGAAGGGGGCUAGCGUUGUUCGGAUUUACUGGGCGUAAAGCGCACGUAGGCGGAUCGUUAAGUCGGGGGUGAAAUCCUGGAGCUCAACUCCAGAACUGCCUUCGAUACUGGCGAUCUUGAGUCCGGAAGAGGUGAGUGGAACUCCUAGUGUAGAGGUGGAAUUCGUAGAUAUUAGGAAGAACACCAGUGGCGAAGGCGGCUCACUGGUCCGGUACUGACGCUGAGGUGCGAAAGCGUGGGGAGCAAACAGGAUUAGAUACCCGAGUAGUC